rnacentral:pre_miRNA from 1 species
AAAAGAAGAUAGAUGAUGAUGAUGAUGAUGAUGAUGAUGAUGAUGAUCAUCAUCAUCAUCAUCAUCAUCAUCAUCAUCAACAUCAUCAUAAUCU